rnacentral:rRNA from 1 species
UACGGAGGGUGCAAGCGUUAAUCGGAAUUACUGGGCGUAAAGAGUACGUAGGCGGCUUAUUAAGUCAGCUGUGAAAGCCCCGGGCUUAACCUGGGAACUGCAGCUGAUACUGGUAGGCUAGAGUCUGUGAGAGGGUAGUGGAAUUCCUAGUGUAGCGGUGAAAUGCGUAGAUAUUAGGAGGAACAUCAGUGGCGAAGGCGACUGCCUGGCACAAGACUGACGCUGAGGUACGAAAGCGUGGGGAGCAAACAGG